AGAAUAUAAGUUAGCCUCGUAGUGACCAUGUGGAAGUCCUGACCUCGCUUGCAGACUUGACCUCUGGAUGUGACAAGGUAGCUUCACUACAGCUCUACUAUUUAAUCCUGGAAACUAAAAACCAAAAAAAAAAAAAAAAAAAUCUAAAAGCAAGAAAGAUGCAGACUAUUUCCUAAGAAGUCAGAAGAACCCAAUGUAUUCUGGAGGGCAAAGAAAAACAGGGUGAGGUUCUGUGUUCACUGAUACAUCCCCUUCCUUCACCGGGCUCAUGAAAAGAAAUGCUGAAUCAGCAAAUAGAGUGAACGAACAAUCAAGAUGAGAUGGCUGCUGCUGAUGUGAUUCUCUAGGUUACUACCUUUCUUCCUGCUGCAAAUGCUGCAUGACACUAAGCUUACAGGAUCUAGAAGCAGACUACAA
rnacentral:antisense_RNA from 1 species